rnacentral:rRNA from 1 species
CCCAGCAGCCAUAUCGCGCUGCAGCUCACAGCUGGCAGCCCACUGAAGCUCAGCAGGUGUGAGCCUGGUCAGUACCUGGAUGGGAGACCUCCUGGGAAAUGCUAAGGUUGCUGCUGGAA